GACGAACGCUGGCGGCGUGCUUAACACAUGCAAGUCGAACGGAAAGGCCCCUUUGGGGGUCCUCGAGUGGCGCACGGGUGAGUAACACGUGAGUAACCUGCCCUUGACUUCGGGAUAACUUCAGGAAACUGGGGCUAAUACCGGAUAGGAAUCCUUGCUGCAUGGUGGGGGUUGGAAAGCUUCGGCGGUUUUAGAUGGACUCGCGGCUUAUCAGCUUGUUGGUGGGGUAGUGGCUUACCAAGGCUUUGACGGGUAGCCGGCCUGAGAGGGCGACCGGCCACAUUGGGACUGAGAUACGGCCCAGACUCCUACGGGAGGCAGCGGUGGGGAAUAUUGCACAAUGGGCGGAAGCCUGAUGCAGCAACGCCGCGUGCGGGAUGACGGCCUUCGGGUUGUAAACCGCUUUCAGCAGGGGCGAAGCUUGUGGUGACGGUACCUGCAGAAGAAGCACCGGCUAACUACGUG
rnacentral:rRNA from 1 species